CUUUCGAGCACUUUUUUCCAUCGUCGACUUUCAAUUUCUCAUUCGUUAAAUAUUUAUGAUCAAUCUCAUAAUCCUAUGCCGAUCCAAGAGCUCAGGCAAUCAAGCUCAUAUGUGGGGCCCACCCUCAACACGAAAGUGACGUCUUUGUCCCAAACUUCUUCUCCUCCAUGGAGAACGUCAGCCGCCAGCUCCGAACUUCCGGCUUUGGCCUAGCAGAAACGGGGAGGGGGGUCGACGCCAGCUACUGCUUCGCGCAAUGCCACCGCGACAUCCCCCUCACCGAGUGCGCCAUCUGCUAUGCCGAGGCCCUUGAUUUAAAUUUUACUUAAGGGAGUUUUGUCUGAUGGAAGAGAGAUUGCAGAUUUUUCGACACGAAACACAGAGCAUCGGAGUUGUACAAUGCGAGUGAACAUCAUAAGCAGCAUUGAG